rnacentral:rRNA from 1 species
UAGGGAAUCUUCGGCAAUGGACGAAAGUCUGACCGAGCAACGCCGCGGGAGUGAAGAAGGUUUUCGGAUCGUAAAACUCUGUUGUUAGAGAAGAACAAGGACGUUAGUAACUGAACGUCCCCUGACGGUAUCUAACCAGAAAGCCACGGCUAACUACGUGCCAGCAGCCGCGGUAAUACGUAGGUGGCAAGCGUUGUCCGGAUUUAUUGGGCGUAAAGCGAGCGCAGGCGGUUUCUUAAGUCUGAUGUGAAAGCCCCCGGCUCAACCGGGGAGGGUCAUUGGAAACUGGGAGACUUGAGUGCAGAAGAGGAGAGUGGAAUUCCAUGUGUAGCGGUGAAAUGCGUAGAUAUAUGGAGGAACACCAGUGGCGAAGUCGGCUCUCUGGUCUGUAACUGACGCUGAGGCUCGAAAGCGUGGGGAGCAAACAGG